rnacentral:rRNA from 1 species
AUUGAACGCUGGCGACAGGCUCAACACAUGCAAGUCGAGCGGGGUGAUGGUGCUUGCACUAUCACUUAGCGGCGGACGGGUGAGUAAUGCUUAGGAAUCUGCCUAUUAGUGGGGGACAACAUCUCGAAAGGGAUGCUAAUACCGCAUACGUCCUACGGGAGAAAGCAGGGGAUCACUUGUGACCUUGCGCUAAUAGAUGAGCCUAAGUCGGAUUAGCUAGUUGGUGGGGUAAAGGCCUACCAAGGCGACGAUCUGUAGCGGGUCUGUGAGGAUGAUCCGCCACACUGGGACUGGGACACGGCCCAGACUCCUACGGGAGGCAGCAGUGGGGAAUAUUGGACAAUGGGGGGAACCCUGAUCCAGCCAUGCCGCGUGUGUGAAGAAGGCCUUAUGGUUGUAAAGCACUUUAAGCGGGGAGGAGGCUCUUUUGGUUAAUACCCAAGAUGAGUGGACGUUACUCGCAGAAUAAGCACCGGCUAACUCUGUGCCAGCCGCCGCCGUAA